UCGCGGCUUAUCACCGGCAGUCCCCUUAGAGUGCCCAACUGAAUGAUGGCAACUAAGGACAAGGGUUGCGCUCGUUACGGGACUUAACCCAACAUCUCACAACACGAGCUGACGACAGCCAUGCAGCACCUGUCUCUGCGCUCCUUGCGGCACUCCCAACUCUCAUCGGGAUUCGCAGGAUGUCAAGGGUAGGUAAGGUUCUUCGCGUUGCAUCGAAUUAAACCACAUGCUCCACCGCUUGUGCGGGCCCCCGUCAAUUCUUUUGAGUUUCAGUCUUGCGACUGUACUUCCCAGGCGGAGAACUUAUCGCGUUAGCUUCAAUACUGAAGGGUUCCCCCUCCAACAUUUAGUUCUCAUCGUUUACAGCGUGGACUAC
rnacentral:misc_RNA from 1 species